GGGUGAACCGCACUGAUGGCCCAAGACACUGCAUGAGGCAAGCACUCUGCAGAAACGCUAAGGGUCAGGAGAAGAGGGCAAGAUGAGGAAGUUCCUGCUAUCUGGACUCAGAGUCCCACCCCUGGGGACGUGCUCCAACGGCAAGCAGUUUCAGGAUCACUUUGCAGGCUUGCACAGCUUUGCUCCCAUUAAACCUCUGAUUGCGUCUGUUGCCAUUUGGAACAGAGAUUCUUCGAUCAAGUCUUCAACAACAUGACACUGGAUCUGGUAAGUGUGUGUGGACCAGUCAUAGGCGUGCAGAUGUCUUCCACUCGGACAGAAGAUGGUAACCAUGUCCACAGGCACUGCCACAGACUGUCAGGGACAAACAUGUUGUUGCUAUUAUUUUUCAGCUAAAAAAAUAAGCUCUUUACAAUGCAUAGUUGGAGGAACUUAGUCCACAGAUUCAAAGCCAUAGAAUUACAUGUUCUUAAAGACUCACAGGAGAUAACAAAGCAGAAAACACAUGUAGUGUUUUGUGGAAAGUCCUGAGGGCUGUGUGUCAGGGCCAAGCUGAAUGGGCAGGGGACUUGCUCCAGCCACCCCCCAGGGACCCAGCUCCAGCCCUGCCUGUCCUUCUUCCACUUCCCCUUUAUCUGAAGCAGUGGACAAGAGAAGGAGGAGGUGCCAAAGGACACCAGGGGUCCUGGAGGAACUGAAGCCACCACGUGCUGCAGGUGGAGGAGCCUGUAACCUCUUAAGGAAGAGUGGUUAGAAACUGCGGCCCUGAUUUGAAUCCUGAGGGCCCUUCGUGACACUUUCACUUCCAACAGGCCACCACCUGUGAUGGUGUCCUGCUGUGACUCGGGACUAAGCAAAUGUGAUCCUGCCUGUUCCCAACCCUGGGAGGCCAUGCCCAAGUCUUCACCCAAGUUUCCUCAGUAAGACUGGAAGAAGGUGGGGCAGCAAAGCCCCUUUGACAAUGCAUAGCAGGAGUGUGAGUCCCGUGUCACAAGGGGACUCACAGCUCUGAUGCCUUGACCAGAACAAAUGAUGUUUUUGACAAGAGGACUUGACAAGAUCCUCACGGAAUCACACAGGAUGUCACCUCCUGAGCUCUUCCAGAGCACAGAGAUGGAAGGGACACCGGGAUGGCGGGAAGGGAGGUUGGGAGCCAAGGAUCAUGGCAGUGUCCUCCAGACCCCUGGGUGUGGACUUGUUGGCCAAUGCUUCUGCAAACAAGGGGGAUGUAGGUGAUCUCACUUUCCCAAGGGCAGUGCUCAAGGCCAGGGCCAGGCCAGGGCCAGGCUGAGCUCUUACGCUUGGCUUUUGCUCUGGAAAGUUCUCUCUUGGUGUGCUGCAGAGCACAGCCCUGAAGCACAGGAUAGUGGACAAAACCCCCGUGACGGCCCAGGCUCCACCAGGCCAGCCUUCGCCCACUCAGAGCCAAGAGAAAGCAAACAGGCCUCUGGACAGCGGAGUGGAGGCUGCAUGUUCUCCUCACACACCACUGACUUGCUGGGCCCAGAGCCUGUGCUGAGGAUACCCCACACACCCAGGACCCAGGCUGGCUUCUGAGGAGCACCUGGAACAGCCAGCUGGGCAGUGGGCUCAAACUUCUCUGCCUUAGUCAACUUGAUUUUGGAUGGACUGAACAUGUCAUGUGGCAUGUGAAUGAGGGACCCCCCCCCCCCCCCCCCCCGCCCCUUGCCCUCUACCUCUUGGCUCCUGGUGAGCACAUUUGGAUCAUGACUGGCUAGAGCACAGUCCUCCCCACAUCCCUCUGUCUCUGGAGCACCUCCACCCCACAAAGCUCUACUCGUUCUGCAACUCCCACCAGAAAGACGGUCAUAGACUUCCUGAUACUUCCUGGUGAGUGGUAGGCAAGGACCAGAUCAAUCAACCAAUCAACCAACUAACCAACCAGCCAACCCAGAUACUUGGGAUGCAUUUUCCCAAAGACAGAGCCUUGUGAGGGAUACCCAGGCCCAGAUGCAGCCCCCAGGGCUCCACUCCACAUCUGUGGAGCAACCAGAAAUCAUGGAUCCAUCUCAACCCCACAGAUUCCUCACAGCUGAACUGGGGAGCCAGUGCCAUUCACAGGGCAGAGACUGGGUUACUGAGCAUGUCCCUGCCUGGCCUUUCCCGGCCAAGACUUGAGUGGUAGGAACCCAGAUGGCUUAUAUCGGCAGGGCCUCCAGUCUUCUUUCAGGAUGCCCCUGGGGCUUGUGAAGGCCAAAGAGACUUGCCAAGUGACAGGUGCAUUCUGUGAGUCUGUUCGUUUCAAGCAAAAUUUCUGGUUUCACUUGAUUCUUAUCCAGAAUGAGGCUUAGGUGCUCGUCACUAUCAUGGGGCACUGAGGGGGCAUUGUACCCACUUUGGAAAGGCAGUUUUUUCCCUCCUGAUUUGCUUCACAGUAAAGGUGGCACUGCAGCUAAUGCAAGGCGAGUAAACUGUGGCAAAUGUCAUCAGCAGGCUCCCCCACCAGGAACCCUCGCUUCUUUCAGACUCUGCUGAGUCCCUCUGGGGCACUCUUGUCCUCUAGAGCACUUUGAGAUACUUCAUAGUGUCACUGUAAAGCCAAACCCUUGUCCCAGUGCGGCAGAGCAUGGCCAGGCCAGCUAGAACACAGCAAGCCAGGGCUGAGCCAAACAAGGGCACGCUGACCUGUCACCCUACAGAGGCCAAGGCCUGGUGCUCAUGCCCACUCCUUAUAGUGCCAUGGCCCCCAAUCCCCAGUAUCCACCAUCCUCGGACCUCAGCCUCCUGGGAAGCUGGGAUUGCAGCCUGCAGAAAUGGGCAGAAGGGAAUGGCAGCGCAGACCCAAGGGCCAACCAAUAGUGUCAGUGCUUUCCAAACCCGAUUGGCAUAAGUUUUAACCAAUAGCUUUUAGUACUUUUCCAAACCCGAUUAGCAUAAGUAUGGACCAAUAGUGUUGACCCAAGUGCUAUAUAAACCCCUAGACCAACACACUCAGUAACCCACCUGCUACUGGUUACUCUCUUGUCUUUGAGUUCUGUUUCUAUGCUUCACACUUGAAUAAAUCCUACAUCUCUCACUCUUGCUUUCUGCUGUCCCAUCAAUCUCAUUCUUUGGACUUGCUAAAAAGAACCCGGAAAGACGAGACGUUGACAGUGAGCUUCUGGGGUCUGUUGCACCCUGGAGAGCAGAGUCCCACAUACAGCUGCAACACUGGGAGCUGAGCCCACCGUUCCACGGUAGUGGAGAAGAACAUGGCUUUCCACCCUCGACCCUCAGAGCAAAUGCUGAAGUGGUGAAUUAAGUUUUAUCUCAAACUCUGGUUUCACUGGUUCUUCAACUGGCUCCAAGGCUGUCCCCACAGCUACUCUGCCGUGCUCACCUUCCCAGAGGACCUCUCCCCAUCCCUACAGGUGGCGUGCCACCUCUGAACACAGCAUGGCACACAACGCUUCUGGAAGUCUCUCUGAGAACACCCAGCUCUUUCUUCAAAGCAAAGCGGCAUGGGAACCUGCAGGCAAAGCGGCCAAGGGCGGAGCUGCUCUCCUGAGCCGAGCGUCCAGUUCCUGCCACAGGACAGGUGCCUGCUAGCUGAGUGGCCUUGCACCGGUGAGUGCCCCCUGAGCCUGCAUUCGCCCAUCUGGGAAAGCAAAGAGGACACUUUGGAGUCUGCUUUGAGGGCAAAUCAAGAGCCGCACAGAUGGCUUGAAGCAUGACGCUAGCACCCACCAGUAGCUCUACCCUUCCCUUAUUUGUGGGCGGUGAAGGCGAAGAAGAUCCUCAAGUUGCUGGGCACGGUACUGCAUGCUGUAAUCCCAGCAGCUCAGGAAGCUGAGGCAGGAAGAUUGCCAGUUCAAAACCAGCCUCAGCAAUG